ACGGCUCAGUAACACGUGGAUAACCUGCCCUUGGGUCCGGCAUAACCCCGGGAAACUGGGGAUAAUACCGGAUAACGCACAUAUGCUGGAAUGCUUUAUGCGUAAAAUGGAUUCGUCUGCCCAAGGAUGGGUCUGCGGCCUAUCAGGUAGUAGUGGGUGUAAUGUACCUACUAGCCAACAACGGGUACGGGUUGUGAGAGCAAGAGCCCGGAGAUGGAUUCUGAGACAUGAAUCCAGGCCCUACGGGGCGCAGCAGGCGCGAAAACUUUACAAUGCGGGAAACCGUGAUAAGGGGACACCGAGUGCCAGCAUCAUAUGCUGGCUGUCCGGGUGUGUAAAAUACACCUGUCAGCAAGGGCCGGGCAAGACCGGUGCCAGCCGCCGCGGUAACACCGGCGGCCCGAGUGGUGAUCGUGAUUAUUGGGUCUAAAGGGUCCGUAGCCGGUUUGGUCAGUCCUCCGGGAAAUCUGACGGCUCAACCGUUAGGCUUUCGGGGGAUACUGCCAGGCUUGGAACCGGGAGAGGUAAGAGGUACUACAGGGGUAGGAGUGAAAUCUUGUAAUCCCUGUGGGACCACCUGUGGCGAAGGCGUCUUACCAGAACGGGUUCGACGGUGAGGGACGAAAGCUGGGGGCACGAACCGGAUUAGAUACCCGGGUAGUCCCAGCCGUAAACGAUGCUCGCUAGGUGUCAGGCAUGGCGCGACCGUGUCUGGUGCCGCAGGGAAGCCGUGAAGCGAGCCACCUGGGAAGUACGGCCGCAAGGCUGAAACUUAAAGGAAUUGGCGGGGGAG
rnacentral:rRNA from 1 species